rnacentral:rRNA from 1 species
UAGCUAGUUGGUGAGGUAAAGGCUUACCAAGGCGACGAUCUGUAGCGGGUCUGAGAGGAUGAUCCGCCACACUGGAACUGAGACACGGUCCAGACCCCUACGGGAGGCAGCAGUGGGGAAUUUUGGACAAUGGGGGCAACCCUGAUCCAGCCAUGCCGCGUGAGUGAAGAAGGCCUUCGGGUUGUAAAGCUCUUUCGGCCGGGAAGAAAUCGCAUGGGCCAAUACCCUGUGUGGAUGACGGUACCGGAAUAAGAAGCACCGGCUAACUACGUGCCAGCAGCCGCGGUAAUACGUAGGGUGCGAGCGUUAAUCGGAAUUACUGGGCGUAAAGCGUGCGCAGGCGGUUUUGUAAGACAGGCGUGAAAUCCCCGGGCUUAACCUGGGAACUGCGUUUGUGACUGCAAGGCUAGAGUACGGCAGAGGGGGGUGGAAUUCCACGUGUAGCAGUGAAAUGCGUAGAGAUGUGGAGGAACACCAAUGGCGAAGGCAGCCCCCUGGGUCGAUACUGACGCUCAUGCACGAAAGCGUGGGUAGCAAACAGGAUUAGAUACCCUGGUAGUCCACGCCCUAAACUAUGUCAACUAGGUGUUGGGUGGGUAAAACCAUUUAGUACCGUAGCUAACGCGUGAAGUUGACCGCCUGGGGAGUACGGCCGCAAGGUUAAAACUCAAAGGAAUUGACGGGGACCCGCACAAGCGGUGGAUGAUGUGGAUUAAUUCGAUGCAACGCGAAAAACCUUACCUACCCUUGACACGCCAGGAACUUGCCAGAGAUGGCUCGGUGCCCGAAAGGGAGCCUGGACACAGGUGCUGCAUGGCUGUCGUCAGCUCGUGUCGUGAGAUGUUGGGUUAAGUCCCGCAACGAGCGCAACCCUUGUCGUUAAUUGCCAUCAUUUGGUUGGGCACUUUAACGAGACUGCCGGUGACAAACCGGAGGAAGGUGGGGAUGACGUCAAGUCCUCAUGGCCCUUAUGGGUAGGGCUUCACACGUCAUACAAUGGUCGGUACAAAGGGUUGCCAAGCCGCGAGGCGGAGCCAAUCCCAGAAAGCCGAUCGUAGUCCGGAUUGCAGGCUGCAACUCGCCUGCAUGAAGUCGGAAUCGCUAGUAAUCGUGGAUCAGCAUGUCACGGUGAAUACGUUCCCGGGUCUUGUACACACCGCCCGUCACACCAUGGGAGCGGGUUCCGCCAGAAGUAGGUAGCCUAACCGCAAGGGGGGCGCUUACCACGGCGGGGUUCGUGACUGGGGUGAAGUCGAAACAAGGUAGCCGUAGGGGAACCUGCGGCUG